ensembl:lncRNA
GCCCGGGGAUGAGGUUGCCGUCACUGUAAUCUAGUUCCCAUGCUGUGUGCAGUAGCACGGGGAUGAGGUUACCGUCACUGUAAUCUAGUUCCCAUGCUGUGUGCAGUAGCAUGGGGAUGAGGUUACUGUCACUGUAAUCUAGUUCCCCUGCUGUGUGCAGUAGCCCGGGGAUGAGGUUACCGUCACUGUAAUCUAGUUCCCAUGCUAUGCCCAGUAGCCCGGGGACGAGGUUACCGUCACUGUAAUCUAGUCCCAAUGCUGUGCCCAGUAGCCCGGGGACGAGGUUACCGUCACUGUAAUCUAGUCCCCAUGCUGUGCCCAGUAGCCCGGGGACAAGGUUACCGUCAAUGUAAUCUAGUUCACAUGCUGUGUGCAAUAGCCCGGGGAUGAGGUUACAGUCACUGUAAUCUAGUUCCCCUGCUGUGUGCAGUAGCCCGGGGAUGAGGUUGCCGUCACUGUAAUCUAGUUCCCAUGCUGUGUGCAGUAGCAUGGGGAUGAGGUUACUGUCACUGUAAUCUAGUUCCCAUGCUGUGUGCAGUAGCAUGGGGAUGAGGUUACCGUCACUGUAAUCUAGUUCCCAUGCUGUGCCCAGUAGCC